rnacentral:rRNA from 1 species
UGAUUAAGUGGAGUAGAGACUUCGGUCAAAGCGAAGCUUAUGAAAGCGGCGGACGGGUGAGUAACGCGUGGGUAACCUGCCCCAUACAAAGGGAUAGCCACUGGAAACGGUGAUUAAUACCUUAUAAGUCGGUAGUCUCGCAUGAGACAGCCGACAAAGAUUUAUCGGUAUGGGAUGGACCCGCGUCUGAUUAGCUAGUUGGUGAGGUAACGGCUCACCAAGGCGACGAUCAGUAGCCGACCUGAGAGGGUGAUCGGCCACACUGGAACUGAGACACGGUCCAGACUCCUACGGGAGGCAGCAGUGGGGAAUAUUGCACAAUGGGCGCAAGCCUGAUGCAGCAACGCCGCGUGAGUGAAGAAGGCUUUCGGGUCGUAAAACUCUGUCCUAUGGGAAGAAAAAAAUGACGGUACCAUAGGAGGAAGCCCCGGCUAACUACGUGCCAGCAGCCGCGGUAAUACGUAGGGGGCAAGCGUUAUCCGGAAUCACUGGGCGUAAAGGGUGCGUAGGUGGCUUAUCAAGCCAGGGGUGAAAGGCAUUGGCUCAACCAAUGUAAGCCUUUGGAACUGAUAGGCUUGAGUGCAGGAGAGGUAAGUGGAAUUCCUAGUGUAGAGGUGAAA